rfam:Acyrthosiphon pisum strain LSR1 Contig27346, whole genome shotgun sequence.
AAAAAGGUCUUUAUCAAGACCAACAAACAUGAUUGAAUAAAGUAAA